rnacentral:tRNA from 1 species
CAAAAAAUAGUUUAAAAAAAAUAGUAACAUUGGAAGUUAUUGAUCAAUAAAGUAUUGUUUUUUGA